AGUAGUCAUAUGCUUGUCUCAAAGAUUAAGCCAUGCAUGUCUCAGUGCAAGCCAAAUUAAGGUGAAACCGCGAAUGGCUCAUUAAAUCAGUUAUGGUUCCUUGGAUCCUACCAAUCCUACUUGGACAACUGUGGUAAUUCUAGAGCUAAUACAUGCACCCAGAGCUCCGUCCAGAAAUGGCCGGGGCGCAGUUAUUAGACCAAAACCGAUCGGUCGGGCCCGCCCGUCCGUAACCUUGGUGACUCUGAAUAACCACAGCUGAUCGCACGGCCUCGCGCCGGCGACGUAUCCUUCGAAUGUCUGCCUUAUCAACUGUCGAUGGUAGGUUCUGCGCCUACCAUGGUUGUAACGGGUAACGGGGAAUCAGGGUUCGAUUCCGGAGAGGGAGCCUGAGAAACGGCUACCACAUCCAAGGAAGGCAGCAGGCGCGCAAAUUACCCACUCCCGGCACGGGGAGGUAGUGACGAAAAAUAACGAUACGGGACUCAUCCGAGGCCCCGUAAUCGGAAUGAGAACACUUUAAAUCUUUUAACGAGUACCUAAUGGAGGGCAAGUCUGGUGCCAGCAGCCGCGGUAAUUCCAGCUCCAUUGGCGUAUAUUAA
rnacentral:rRNA from 1 species